rnacentral:rRNA from 1 species
CAUGCCAGUCGAACGGCAGCACGGGGGCAACCCUGGUGGCGAGUGGCGAACGGGUGAGUAACACAUCGGAACGUACCCAGUUGUGGGGGAUAACUCAUCGAAAGGUGGGCUAAUACCGCAUGAUCUGGAGACAGCAAAGCGGGGGAUCGGAAACGACCUCGCGCGAUUGGAGCGGCCGAUGUCCGAUUAGCUAGUUGGUGGGGUAAAGGCCUACCAAGGCUUCGAUCGGUAGCUGGUCUGAGAGGAUGAUCAGCCACACUGGGACUGAGACACGGCCCAGACUCCUACGGGAGGCAGCAGUGGGGAAUUUUGGACAAUGGGGGCAACCCUGAUCCAGCCAUGCCGCGUGAGCGAAGAAGGCCUUCGGGUUGUAAAGCUCUUUCGGUAGGAACGAAACGGUUACAGCUAAUACCUGUGACUACUGACGGUACUUACAGAAGAAGCACCGGCUAACUACGUGCCAGCAGCCGCGGUAAUACAUAGGGUGCGAGCGUUAAUCUGAAUUACUGGGCGUAAAGCGUGCGCACGCGGUUAUUUAAGUCAAGUGUGAAAGCCAUGAGCUUA